CGAAACGGGGUGAGUAAACACGUGAGUAAAUCUGCCCCUGCACUCUGGGAUAGCCCAUCGGAAACGGUGAUUAAUACUGGAUAUGAGCCAUCUUCGCAUGGGGGUUGUUGGAAAGUUUUUCGGUGCAGGAUGUGCUCGCGGCCUAUCAGCUUGUUGGUGGGGUAAUGGCCUACCAAGGCUUCGACGGGUAGCCGGCCUGAGAGGGUGACCGGCCACACUGGGACUGAGACACGGCCCAGACUCCUACGGGAGGCAGCAGUGGGGAAUAUUGGACAAUGGGCGGAAGCCUGAUCCAGCAACGCCGCGUGAGGGAUGACGGCCUUCGGGUUGUAAACCUCUUUCAGUAGCCACGAAGCGCAAGUGACGGUAGCUACAGAAGAAGGACCGGCCAACUACGUGC
rnacentral:rRNA from 1 species